UGCUCGCCGUUCUCUUGUUCUUGCCUACUCCGCUUCGGAAUGGCGCAGGUCUGUUAUCGAGCUGCCAUCGGCGAUGACGAUCGUCGCUGUGAAUUUUGCAGCAAACUAUUCACCCAGAGGAAGAACAUGCUGCAACACAUCAGGAACAUCCACAAAGUGGCCGUGGAUGUCAAGAAAUUGAUGAAAUGCGACGUAUGUGGCACUGCCGUGCCUACAAUGGAGAAGUAUUCGGAGCACCACAUCGCUGCGCACAACUUCGACGCUGAGUACGCGCACAUGGUGUUCCGGAACGAUAAGGAAUUUAAUGAAUGGAAAGCAAGAGAAGAGGCUAGUCAGAACUGCUGGUUCAUUUUGCCAAGGGGUGCCAAAAAGCUGGCCAGUGGAGAUACAAGGAUUCACUAUUACUGUAAUAGGUCAGGCGAGGCGAGGAAAAAGGAAGGUCAUGGUGACCGUCGGGAGAAAAGUCAGGGAAGCUGCAGGUCUGGUAAGGUGUGUCUUUCAUUUAUUACUGUCACAAAGGAGGACAGCACUCGGAGUCGGACACCUGAAGGCACCACCAUAAAAGUCAGGUAUCAAAGAACCCAUUAUGGUCAUAAAGCAGAAAUUCAGCACUUGAGAAUGAGUGACAUGGAAAAGAUCAGCAUAGCAGAGGACCUAGAACGAGGUGUGCCCAUGAAAACCAUCCUAAAACGAAUAAGAACAUCUGUUGCCGCCAAGCUGAGGCCAAUGCAUUUGGCAGAGCGCUCAAGCCUUCAUAACAUCAAACGGCAGUUUAGCAUUGCUGCUCCUGAGCGUUGUCAUGCUAAUGAUGCUGUCAGUGUAGACACGUGGGUGCUUGCAAUGAAAGAAAAAGGUGAAGCACUUGUCCGCCUGUACAAGGCACAAGGUGCAGUAGACCCAAGUGGUACAUUUUCUUCAGCAGAUUUUGCUCUUGUUCUAAUGACAGAGCCUCAGAGGGAGCUACUAGAAGAAUUGGGCCCUGCAGGAACUGUAUGUCUUGACUCCACACAUGGCACUACAGGGUACCAGUUUGAGCUGACCACUCUUCUGGUGCUAGAUGAAGUAAGAUCAGGUGUACCUGUAGCUUAUUUCAUCUGCAACCGCAUGAAUGAGCUAACUCUUACAGCAUUCUUUAAAUCUCUGGAGUCUGCCAUGGCCAAAAAAGUGGCUGCUAAGACAUUUAUGUCUGAUGAUGCCUCGCAAUUCUACAAGGCAUGGUCCACCGUCAUGGGUGCCCCCAAACAGAAACUUCUCUGUGCCUGGCAUGUGGAUAAGAAUUGGCGUAAGAAGAUACAUGAGUGUGUGGAGAAGCAGCUGAGGCCAUUUGCCUACCAUAGGGUGCGGCUACUUUUAGAAUUACCUGGGGAAAAGGAAUUUAAUUACUAUCUUGAAAAAUUCCUUGCCGAUGAGAAAGAAAAACUGAAGGACUUCGUGAAGUACUUCAAAGACCACUAUGCAGUUAGGCCGCAAGAGUGGGCCUAUUGCUUUAGGAUUGAUGCAGGUGUCAACACAAACAUGCACCUUGAGAGCAUGCACAGGACGUUAAAGCAUAGUAUGCUGGAGGGAAAGCAGAACAAGCGUGUUGACAAACUAAUUUCCGCCCUCAUGGACUUGACAUAUCAUUUUUUAAUGAAGAGAGCAAUCUGGAUGAUAAAAGGGGCAAAGGGUAAGAAGUUGAGCACAAUUGCGAAGAACCACAGGUCUGGCAGGGACAUGGCAGCAUGUGCCAAAUUGAACGAAGAUGGCACAUGGACUGUGCCAUCUCAGUCUAUUAAAGGGCUCUCGUAUAAAGUGUCAAAAGUGGGAGAUGGUGCUUGCUGUCAUUUGAGGUGCAAGGAAUGCGCAGUGUGUGUGCAUACUUACACGUGCACUUGCAAUGACCAUCUUGUACACUGCACAGUGUGCAAGCACAUUCACUGUGUGGUCAUCGCUAAUCCAAUCAGCAGUGACAAGAGCCAUGAGAGCUCACCCGAAGAAUCAUGCGACACAAACCAGGCACUGCACCUUGUGCAGAGUAUAACAAAGCUGGAGGCAGCCAAAGCAGUGUCAAGCUCGGCACUCUUUACAGCGAAAAUGGAGUCAGUCAGACAAGCAAUAUCAGAUGGUGAAGUCUCCGAGGAAGUAGCUAAAAAGGCAAACAAGUUGUUUGAGCCAGUCUUCGCGCUUGUUGAAAGUGACCGAAAAAGAAAGAUGCCAGAUGAUUCGAAUGAACCGGCCAACAAAAAAGUUGUGCACCAAUUAAGAUUUCACUCUACAAGAAACCCUAGAUUGUCCCAGCCAUCAUCUAGCCUUUCAAGGCCCACUGAAGCUCAAAAGGAAGUCCUUAAACUGCAGCUUAUGGACAGCAACAUAGAAACUGAAGAGAUAACCACGUCAGCAGGGCACGAUUACUGGUAACAAGCCUGCAGUGCAGUGAGGAAGAGAGAAGUGGUGCAGUAGUGUUGUGCUGGCAUGCCUUAUUGAAGCAGGUUGAAGGCUCGCAUGCUAACAAGUCGUGACCAUCUGUUCUUGUCUGUGAUUAGCCCGUCUUUU
rnacentral:misc_RNA from 1 species